UUCAUUUUACUUUAGGCUAACAGGCUCAGCUGCAGAUUGAAGGCCUCAUGUCAGCCUUGUAAGUCUGUGUUACUUAAGCAGGAGCAGCCAGGAAUCUAAUAAUGAAGGGCUGGCCAAGAGCAGAGUCCUAAAACUAACACCACUUCAACACCCUAUGCAAGGGAACCAAUUUUUUCCCCUUUAACACUGUACUAGGGGCCUCAUAGGCUAUAAAGGACAUUUUGUGCAAGGCUGUCUUUAGUAACGAUUGGCUGUCUCCAUGCAUACCAUGACAGCAGGUUUGUGAAACAGUCUGGAAUAUAUUUUUAUGCUUCAACACACCACCCCAGAAGCCUGCGACACAAGCACCAGUGUUAUGCUUCACAGAGAUACAGCUGAUUUACGUUUUGAAGACAACAUGCAAAAAGAUGUCUGAAGAUAAUCUUACACAGCAAAUGCACAACAUUGGCCAAAAACUUCUGGAAAAGAUUAAGGAGAUCCCAAAGUCUGACACUGUGGAUAUUGUUUGCUUUGCAAUAAUUGUGACAUUUAUCGGUACUGUACUACUGAUGUUCAUUCUUGCCUGUGCCCACUGCUGCUGCUGCAAGACUAAUGCCACCAAGAUUCAGCCUUAUUCGCAUGCGUGACAAAAGGCGCAGAAAGCCUAGAUCUACAGGUGCACAUGCAGUACAGAUUAUAUAGUCUCUGGCACAGAACCUUAACAGAAGAUAAGAACGUCAUGUUGAUUACCAUUGCACUGAUGUCUGCAUAUAAGCACUUUGCCUUUUCUAGUUACUUCACGGUGUUAACAUAGCUAGAUAUUCUUGGAGGAAUUCUCAGCCACUGGCAAACACCAAGUGAAGAAUCUCUGACAUGAACAGACCAGCACCUGUAAGAAUGGUAACAUUCUGAGAAGAAGCAGGCUCCAUCAUAUAUGUGGGGGUCAUUUAUGUUUUUAUUUCUUUGCAAACUAGCAAAACAUUCAACAUGAUGUAUAUUCUAGCUACAUAAUUCUCUCAAUAUUAUAUACAUGGCCUCAACUCCAAUAAACGAAGACUAAACAUAAAUGUUAAAGCA